UUCCUCAGGUACCGUCAGCCCAUAAUAAAUCAUGGGAUUUCUUCCCUGGUAAAAGCAGUUUACAACCCGUAGGGCAUUCAUCCUGCACGCGGGAUGGCUGGAUCAGGCUUGCGCCCAUUGUCCAAUAUUCCUU
rnacentral:rRNA from 1 species